GCUCUGCAUCAGUUGAGGUGGCUUUUUUUUCUUGCUGCUUCGCAUAUGAGAUGGGAACUCAUGCUUCGACGGAUUCGAGAAGUAUUUAUCCCCGUUUCUUCUUCGAAGUUGUACUCAGACAUUUAGCACCUUACAGGAAAAAGUGUCUGCCCUAUCAAACUGAUGGUAGUCUGUUAGUCUAUCAUGGUUAUUACGGGUAACGAAGAAUAAGGGUUCGACUCCGGAG
rnacentral:ncRNA from 1 species